UGCUGGUGCCCUGGUGAGCGGCGUGCAGCUGGCCGUGUCCAUGAGCAACACUGGUGGCGCCUGGGACAAUGCCAAGAAGUACAUCGAGGCUGGCAACACUGAGCAUG
rnacentral:SRP_RNA from 12 species